rnacentral:rRNA from 1 species
GACGAACGCUGGCGGCGUGCUUAACACAUGCAAGUCGAACGGAAAGGCCCUGCUUGCAGGGUACUCGAGUGGCGAACGGGUGAGUAACACGUGGGUGAUCUGCCCUGCACUUCGGGAUAAGCCUGGGAAACUGGGUCUAAUACCGGAUAGGAGCCAUUUUUAGUGUGAUGGUUGGAAAGUUUUUUCGGUGUAGGAUGAGCUCGCGGCCUAUCAGCUUGUUGGUGGGGUAAUGGCCUACCAAGGCGGCGACGGGUAGCCGGCCUGAGAGGGUGGACGGCCACAUUGGGACUGAGAUACGGCCCAGACUCCGACGGGGGGCAGCAGUGGGGAAUCUUGCUCAAUGGGCGCAAGCCUGAUGCAGCGACGCCGCGUGGGGGAUGACGGCCUUCGGGUUGUAAACUCCUUUCGCUAGGGACGAAGCUUUUUGUGACGGUACCUAGAUAAGAAGCACCGGCUAACUACGUG